GAAAACACAGCACUACUACAUGCAACCAGACAGGAAAUAGACCAAAAAGCACGUUUUCAAAUCAAAAAACAAAUCUGAAGACUAUCAAAAAUGUAGAUGAAGAAGGAAGGCCAGAAAAUCCGUGAGCAUCCCAUUCCUUUUAUCAAGCCACCUAGGUAGAUUCUUGAAUCCACCUCCUGGAAAGGAGGCAUAAACCUGCUGCCUGAGCUGUCUUAAGAGCUUGAUCAAGCAGUGAGACUUGGCAGACCUGCAGAGACAAGGUGAGGAUCAGCUGACUGAAGAG